rfam:Dipodomys ordii contig_11417, whole genome shotgun sequence.
UGGCUCAGUGGUAGAGUGCUUGCCUUGCAUGCAUGAGGCCCUGGGUUCAAUUCCUUG